rnacentral:rRNA from 1 species
UACGGGGGGAGCAAGCGUUGUUCGGAUUUACUGGGCGUAAAGGGCGCGUAGGCGGCACCGCAAGUCGACUGUGAAAUCUCCGGGCUUAACCCGGAAAGGUCAGCCGAUACUGCGGGGCUAGAGUGCAGAAGGGGCAACUGGAAUUCUCGGUGUAGCGGUGAAAUGCGUAGAUAUCAAGAGGAACACCUGAGGUGAAGACGGGUUGCUGGGCCGACACUGACGCUGAGUGCGCGAAAGCCAGGGGAGCAAACGGG